rnacentral:rRNA from 1 species
UGAGGAAUAUUGGUCAAUGGACGCAAGUCUGAACCAGCCAUGCCGCGUGAAGGAUGAAGGCCUUCUGGGUUGUAAACUUCUUUUAUGAGGGAAGAAAUCCCUGAUUUUUAUUAGGGUUGACGGUACCUUAGGAAUAAGCACCGGCUAACUCCGUGCCAGCAGCCGCGGUAAUACGGAGGGUGCAAGCGUUAUCCGGAUUUACUGGGUUUAAAGGGUGUGUAGGCGGGCAAUUAAGUCAGUGGUGAAAUCUCCGAGCUCAACUCGGAAACUGCCAUUGAUACUAUUUGUCUUGAAUUUUGUUGAGGAGGGCGGAAUAAGUCAUGUAGCGGUGAAAUGCAUAGAUAUGACUUAGAACACCGAUAGCGAAGGCAGCUCUCUAAGCAAACAUUGACGCUGAGGCACGAAAGCGUGGGGAUCAAACAGG